GGGGGGCCGGCUGGGCCCCCACAGCCGUCUGGUGGGCUGUGGAUAGGCCACACCUGCGCACAGACGGGAAGUUUGGCCCGCCCCCGGGAGGAUCCCAAUGGGACACUCUCCAGCUUUCCGGCGAGUCCUUGGACGUGCUGGCGCGGCAGCGAGCGGGAAGGCGUCCGGGCCCUGCUCUGGUUGCGGUUCCCUCCGUCUCUGGUUCGUCUGGCCCUGGCCCCUGGCUAGGGGGACUGGAACCGUCUGCUCUCAGGCACCUGGUGGGGGGGGAGGAUGGGCCUUUAGAUUUAUUCCCUAACUGCUAAUGGCCGGCUGUUCCUCCCCCCAGUACACCCCCGCCCCCCAAACUCCCUGUUGAGCCAUUUUUCUGUUGCCUCACUCCGCUCGACAGGGAAUCGUACUGGUUUCUCAUGGACCCGCCUCAGCCGGGCAAGUCUGGGCCCCUGUCCUACAUCGAGUCCCCCAUUGACACAGGUGGGCAGUCGCCUGGGGCCUGGGGCCUGGGGCCCACCCUGCCUCCCUGGCCCUCCAAAGACCUGCGGACCACCAGGGACGGGCCCACUGCUCCCACACUGGCUGUGAGACUUCAGGCCAGGUGUGAACCCUCAGGCUCACGGCAGCCUGCCCUGGGCUUUGCCAGGUUCAGGCGGCACGCGUGAGGGGUCCAGGUGAGAAUCGGCCACACGGCAGGGAACUUCUGCACGUUUAUUGGAGCCAAACGGACGCCAGCUGCCAGGAAGCAGACUCUCAAACGCAUUGGGAGAAAGCUGCGAAAAAUGGCCACUUUGCCUCGUAUUUUAUACACCAGAAGCAAAGGAGAAGAUGCAGGGGCGGGGGGGGGGGGUCCCAGGAAACUCACUGCUGGUGGUUCCGGAGGCGGGAGGGAGCAGAGCAGGGAGACCGCGGAGGCCGGAGGAAGAGGGAGACGGAGACUCGCGCUUCUUCUCUGCGGACGCAGCAAGACGUCGGGCUCGGUGAAGGCACAGACCGGCCUGUGUCAAGGACACUGCAGCCUAGGACAGGACUGCCCGCCACGACUUGUUUCCAGUUCAGAAGUUUUCAGGUCAGCCCUGGUCCGUGGGUUCGAUCCCCGAUCAGGGCACGUUCCUAGGCUGUUGGUUUGGUCCCUGGUUGGAGAGCACGUGUGAGACAACUGACCUCUCUCCCCCUCCCCCUCCCCCUUUCUUACUCUCUGAAAUCAGUGAGUCUGGCCCUGACCAGUGCGGCUCAGCCGGUUGUGUGUCCGAAAAGUGAACGGCCACCAAUUCAACUCCCCAUCAGGGGACACGUCUGAGUUGCGGGUUUGGUCCCUGGUUGGGGCGCUAUAAGAAGCCACUGAUCGAUGUUUCUCUCCCUCUCUUUUUCCCUUCCUUCUCCUCCCUCUAAAUACAAACAAAUAAAAUCUUUAAAAAGAAUGAAAUCAAUAAAUAUAU